CCUACGGGUGGCAGCAGUGAGGAAUAUUGGUCAAUGGGCGUGAGCCUGAACCAGCCAAGUCGCGUGAGGGAAGACGGCCCUAUGGAUUGUAAACCUCUUUUGUCAGGGAGCAAAAGACGCCACGCGUGGCGUUACGAGAGUACCCGAAGAAAAAGGAUCGGCUAACUCCGUGCCAGCAGCCGCGGUAAUACGGAGGAAGCGAGCGUUAUCCGGCUUUAUUGGGUUUAAAGGGUGCGUAGGCGGAAGUUCCAGGUAGCGGUAAAAUUGAGAGGCUCAACCUCAUGGAGCCGUUGAAACUGGUUUUCUUGAGUGAGUGAGAAGUAUGCGGAAUGCGUGGUGUAGCGGUGAAAUGCAUAGAUAUCACGCAGAACUCCGAUUGCGAAGGCAGCAUACCGGCGCUCAACUGACGCUCAUGCACGAAAGUGUGGGUAUCGAACAGGAUUAGAUACCCCGGUAGUC
rnacentral:rRNA from 1 species